rnacentral:rRNA from 1 species
AACGAACGCUGGCGGCAUGCCUAACACAUGCAAGUCGAACGAGACCUUCGGGUCUAGUGGCGCACGGGUGCGUAACACGUGGGAAUCUGCCCUUUGCUUCGGAAUAACAGUUAGAAAUGACUGCUAAUACCGGAUGAUGUCGAAAGACCAAAGAUUUAUCGGCAAAGGAUGAGCCCGCGUAGGAUUAGGUAGUUGGUGGGGUAAAGGCCUACCAAGCCGACGAUCCUUAGCUGGUCUGAGAGGAUGAUCAGCCACACUGGGACUGAGACACGGCCCAGACUCCUACGGGAGGCAGCAGUGGGGAAUAUUGGACAAUGGGCGAAAGCCUGAUCCAGCAAUGCCGCGUGAGUGAUGAAGGCCUUAGGGUUGCAAAGCUCUUUUACCAGGGAUGAUAAUGACAGUACCUGGAGAAUAAGCUCCGGCUAACUCCGUG